UAACCUGCCCAUCAGAGGGGGAUAACAUUCGGAAACGGAUGCUAAAACCGCAUAGGUUCUUUUAGUCGCAUGACUGAAGAAGGAAAAGAGGCUUCGGCUUCUGCUGAUGGAUGGACCCGCGGUGCAUUAGCUAGUUGGUGAGGUAACGGCUCACCAAGGCGAUGAUGCAUAGCCGACCUGAGAGGGUGAUCGGCCACAUUGGGACUGAGACACGGCCCAA
rnacentral:rRNA from 1 species